ensembl:snoRNA
UUGGCCCUGAAUCAAGGCCAGCAGUUUGCUGAAGCUGUUGGUUUCAAGCAGGAGCCUAAAGAAGUGUCUUUCUAUGGUCUGUUGGCCGUUUCAGAACUUUGGAAAUGUAAUGGUCAAUUCAUCAGAAAGAAACAUCU